AAUUGAGAAUGUUCAAGCGAGUGCGAAUUCUAUCAGAAGAGAGAGGUGUACGAUCAGAUUUGUUAGUAGCAGAUAGAGACCACCAAUGAACUCCCGGAUGGGUGAUGAUUUGUAAGCCAAGACUGAGAUUGAUACUGACAGGUUCCUAGUGAGUAUUUGACAUUGAGGAACAAGUUUUUGGAAACAAAUAGAGAAUAUAGUCUUUGACCGAGAAGUUUCAUAUUUUGUAAUCAAAUGUUGAUGUACAUUGUUUGAAUGUUAGUUCGGUAUGAUAUUUUCUGAGUUGAAAUAUUGGUAGUGUGGAUUUAAUACUUUGUAGUUUUUAUACUA